rnacentral:rRNA from 1 species
CGUUUAGGGGUAAACCUGAGAAACCCGAAAGGUCGAAGGGAGAAAUUCAUUCGCGUUUCGAGGCAGGCGUUGAGUAAUUGUUUGUGACGGGAGAGGCUGUAUUUCAGCAACUACCGCACCAAUUACUCUUCGGACCAGUCCCGAACGCGUGCACUUUUCUCCUGGUAGGACGUCGCGAUCCGUUGGGUGUCGGUCUAAGAUUUGCGGUGGAGACCAUUCGUUUCUUGUAAAUGGAUGGACCCGUAUUUUCCGGCCGACUCGCUCGACGGUAUAUGAACGGUUUGGGGCCGCUUUCAGAGCGUUCGACCCGCAACAAGCGCACCAAAUGUGUUGGCGAUNGGACCUAGUGCCGGUUCUAACCUUUGGUGUCCGUUGGUUGUGGUGUUCUCGAACAGACCUCAUUCAAAUUGAACCGAUCAGCGACGGUGUAGCAUUGGGUACUUUCAGGACCCGUCUUGAAACACGGACCAAGGAGUCUAGCAUGUGCGCGAGUCAUUGGGAAUUACUAAACCUAAAGGCGUAAUGAAAGUGAAGAUCUUCCUUGCGAAGAUCGAGGGAAGACAGGUGGUUGGCCCUUAAAAGCGGCCGCCUAGCACUCCCGGGGUGUCUCAUUCUCAUUGCGAGAAGAGGCGCACCAAGAGCNNA